rnacentral:tRNA from 1 species
GGCGUUGUACCAAAGUGGUUACUGGGAUGGUCUCGAAUAGUGUCGCAAACCAUUGGGCUCUGCCCGCGCAGGUUCGAAUCCUGUCAACGUCG